rnacentral:misc_RNA from 1 species
CUUUUUGUGCAUAAUGUAUAUAUAGGGGGGUGGUAGUACUCUUGGGGUAGAGAGGCAUGUGCUGGGAUGGCAUGCCAAGGCAUGUGCUGGGAUGGCAUGCCUUGGUGUGUGCUGGGAUGGCAUGCCAAGGACAAGCAUGUGCUAGGAAGGCAUGCCAAGGCCAAGGCAAGCACAUGCAUUGUGAGCGAGACGAGACGGUUACGAUUACCCCAAGAGUGCCCAAGGGAGAGGAAAGAGGUGUCAAACGCAUGCUGAGCCCCACUUUGGUAGUUUGGCACCCCCAUAGGCAUUGAGGCAAGCGUGCCUAUGGGAAAAGUCUGUUGAGCUUGUCAGCCAUGUUGGGUAUUAUUGUCUGAAGGAGAUGAUGGCACAAAGAUGCUGGCUUUAAGGUAACGUUCCGGCAGCACAGCCAGCCCGCAAUUGCUAGUUCAAGCGGGUGGAAUCUGCUUAUAGGGGCGUUGCUUGCUCGCGGUGGAAUUGGGCACGCCCAAUAUGUAUCAUCGACCGACGACGUAGUUCCUGCAUGGCCCCAUAGUAUUCAGGCAAGCGUGCCUAUGGGAAAAGUCGGUUGAGCUUGUCAGCCAUGUUGGGUAUUAUUGUCUGGAGGAGAUGAUGGCACAAGGAUGCUGGCUUUAAGGKAACGUUCCGGCAGCACAGCCAGCCCGCAAUUGCUAGUUCAAGCGGGUGGAAUCUGCCUAUAGGGGCGUUGCUUGCUCGCGGUGGAAUUGGGCACGCCCAAUAUGUAUCAUCGACCGAUGACGUAGUUCCUGCAUGGCCCCAUAGGUAUUCAGGCAAGCGUGCCUAUGGGUAAAGUCGCUUGAGCUUGUCAGCCAUGUUGGGUAUUAUUGUCUGGACGAGAUGAUGGCACAAGGAUGCUUGCUUUAAGGUAACAUUCCGGCAGCGCAGCCAGCCCGCAAUUGCUAGUUCAAGCGGCUGGAAUCUGCCUAUAGGGGUGUUGCUUGCUUGCUGUGGAUUUGGGACACGCCCAAUAUCUAUCAUUGACCCAACGAAGUGCUCAACAUGGGUUGCUGAGGGCUAUUUUGGCACUGAUGGUUCCGUUGUUUGCUUGGCUUUGAUAAACGUUUAGAUGUCAUGAUGCUUGGGAUCCAAUAAAUUUAUGUGGGAUGCUGAGAGCUGGAACCCAAUGUCAUUCACCAGACGGCUUAGCUUCGUCAGUGUGUAUAAUAUGUCAUUGAACCCCAAUCCUCGAUGCCAACCUGAUUAUGACUUUUGGAUCGCAAUUAUCAUGGCUAUCAAAAACUGAGUAGGAGUCAUGGAAUAAGUUAACAAUUUGUAGCCUUUAUAGUUGUCAGCUUUCGCAUCGCCCGGUGUGUUUUGGGAAUCGCUUUGUGGCAUUUGGUUGCCUGCCGUGCCUCUUGGCAUACGGUGGGUGCCACUUGCCGGGUGGUUUUCGGAAACAUCCACCGUAAAGGUGCAUGAGUGGUGUUUGGUUUGUUACGGGUGGUUGGCUCUUUGCUUGCGCAACAACUGCCACCUGACUUACCUCUUCAGAUGUUUGCCUAGGCUUGUAUAGCCUAAGCAGAUUGUGGGUUUCCUGUGUUGCCUACCUACGUCACGGAAUUGUCCCGAUCGAUCAAAGUUGCUUUCGUCUUGUGUCGUCUUGAUGGCAUAAGAUGAACYCUGAAGCUGUCUCUUUGCACCGCAUCGUUAAUGCAUGCGUUGAUGUUGUGGCCCAUUGAGCAUUGCUUGGUACCUUGGAUACGGAACCUUAUGUGGGCAUGGGUCCUUAGGGAACCUUGUUCUGCCCUCGUUUAGCGUUCGCGCUUCUCUUAGAAUGACUGCCCAGCUGGAAUGGGAAGCCAUUCUGGAUGGGCAUCGUCAAAGAGGAAUGC